UGCACACAAUUGAGUUCAUUUUAAAAUUACUUUUAAUUCAAAGUCCUGUUGAAUUUGUAACAACUGUUUUAUAUUUUGUUGUGUGAUUUGCCCAUUGGAUCCUAAUGCUAAUGCAUCCAUUGUACAUUCACUUGCACUGCCAGCACCAACGCAAAUAUUCCACCAAACUAAAUCGUGCUCUGGUUCUAAAGUCUUAAUCGUAUCAAUUUUUCCAUUUUGAAAAAUUUCAAAUCUCUACAUAAAAACAAAAGUGUUGACUAGUUAACAAAUGGGACUUACUCGAAAAGUGGAUGAGAAUUGUUUAGACAUCCAAAAAAGAAAAUAUAAAAAAUUGAAAAGAGUGCAAGAUGCUAUAUCGAAUUCAAAUAUGAUGGAAAACGAGAUAAGGUUAUGAUAAGGAGUAAUAGUAUGCUGAUACAAAGGCAUUCGUUCUUCAUAUGUGAUCAUAUCUUUGUGCUCUUGCAUCUCGUUAAUUUGAUAGGUCGAAGAUAAAACAUGAUCUAUAUUUUUAAACAGGUCUUCAUCUAAAAUAAUUCAAAAAGUAUCCGUUUUUGAACAUUUUUAUCUUAUAAAUGGUGGUGUGGUAAUAAAAAGAAAAGAAACUAACCAGGCAAUGUAUCAAUAUCAAAAUGAACUAUUUGUUUGAAAUAAGAACGGAAUUUGGUUAAUUUUGUAGUUAAAUUCGAUAGAGAGGAUGAUAAUGAAGCUAAAUGCUCCAAAGUAUCAUACACGUAAUGAGAUUUGAUAAGCAGAUUAUUCAUUAAUGUUAAUAAUGUUGAAACUGGAGUGGUUUCCCCACUAAAACACUCAUACAAUUCAUUGAAACCAUCAUACAGAAGAUGGCAUGGAAGAGGUACAAUAUCUUCAGGCCGUUCACUUGAAAAUCGAGCCGAACAAAAAAUAUAACUAUUCAAUUUAAAUAGUACAAAACUUAUCCAAUCCGAAGCAACGCGUUCACUUGUCAUUUGAAAUAUUCCGCUUUGUUUGAAGUUAGAGGCCAAUAAAGAAGACGGUAAAGUUACGAAAACAUUAUAAAAUGAUGUCAAAAUGACAGGACGAUACAAACCACUAAGAAUCAACUGGUUUGCAGAACUAUCAUCACGUUGGUUCCAUUCCCCUUGACAAAUAUUUGUUAUAGAGAAAUUCGCUGUUUUAGCUGCACCAUAAGCUAUUGAUUGAGGUCCCAAAACGCCAACACAAUCCGAUGCAUCACGAAUCGCUAAUGUUAAAACGAUUUCUAGAAGAACAGGUAAUUCUUCUUUUUCGUAGUCUUCUAUCCUUGAGUCGUACAAAUCAAUAAAUUGCAAACAUGCAUUUCUUAAA